rnacentral:rRNA from 1 species
CCUACGGGUGGCAGCAGUGGGGAAUAUUGCACAAUGGGGGAAACCCUGAUGCAGCGACGCCGCGUGAGUGAAGAAGUCUUUCGGUAUGUAAAGCUCUAUCAGCAGGGAAGAAAAUGACGGUAACUGAUUAAGAAGCCCCGGCUAACUACGUGCCAGCAGCCGCGGUCAUACGUAGGGGGCACGCGUUAUCCGGAUUUACUGGGUGUAAAGGGAGCGUAGACGGCAGCACAAGUCAGGAGUGAAAUGCCGGGGCUUAACCCCGGUACGGCUUUGGAAACUGUGCCGCUAGAGUGCAGGAGAGGUAAGUGGAAUUCCUGGUGUAGCGGUGAAAUGCGUAGAUAUUAGGAGGAACACC